rnacentral:ncRNA from 2 species
GGAAGUCAUUUGGGGUGCCGAAAAAGGCUGAGAGGCGAGUGCCAACCCAUUGAACCUGCUCUGGGUAAUACCAGCGAAGGGAAAUGCACUGAGUUAUUU